rnacentral:rRNA from 1 species
UACGUAGGGUGCGAGCGUUGCCCGGAUUUAUUGGGCGUAAAGAGCUCGUAGGCGGCUUGUCGCGUCGGCUGUGAAAACCCGCGGCUCAACUGUGGGCGGGCAGCUGAUACGGGCAGGCUAGAGUUCGGUAGGGGAGACUGGAAUUCCUGGUGUAGCGGUGAAAUGCGUAGAUAUCAGGAGGAACACCGGUGGCGAAGGCGGGUCUCUGGGCCGAUACUGACGCUGAGGAGCGAAAGCGUGGGGAGCGAACAGG